AAUAGACGCGAGCCACCGACGCUCUCCCUGCACGCGACCUUCUCUCCUUCCGCACGCCAACACAGCCGCCGCCUCCUCUGCUCGUUUAUCAGCUUCGCCGAAUUUGGGGAGCCACCGGCGCGCGGGACGCGCCCCACCGCGCCUCCCUUCCCACCCACGCGGCUGCGGGCGAGGGCCCUCCUGAUCUCCCUCUGCCGAGGACCCUAUCCUCCUCGGCGUCAGCGACGGCUACAUGCCCCUCAAGGGGGUCAUCUAGGUCGAGAGGCCCGGCCAGACCGACGCCCAGUCCAAGCUGGUGAAUUUCAUCAUCCACCCUGCCCAGAGCUGACUACAGUCCAAACGAUGAUCUAUGGGAGCAGGAUUUAUGCUCAAGAGAAGAUGGUUUCAGACGAAGGACCUGGAGUGAGGCAGGUUCAGUUUUGAACAAUGCAAGUAGGAGGAUAAACAGGAAAUCUGCUAGGCUGAUGCGCCGGAGAGACGCACCAGGAGGCCAACCAGUCCGUGGUGUCGCCGCCGUCGUCCUCGUCCCUCAUGCAUAGCGACAGAGAGAGACGAUCUGUCUGGAGAUCGAGUAUAGGAUCUAGCACUGGUAAUAUCCUGCAGGCGUUGGAAGAGUACUUGCCAGUCUUGCUAGGAUUGGUUAAAGAAGAUUAAAUUUCUCUCCAGGAUAGAUAGGGUGUGAAAUCUCUUCUUCUUCUUCUUCGAGGAGGAGGAUGACGAUUGCCAGUGAACAUGUAUGGAAAAUUCAAAGUUGCUGCUGAGAAAUCUCAAACUAUCUAUAUCGAAUUUGGGAUGGUGUUGAGAUAGUUCAGGUCGAUCAUGUCGAAUUUCUAUGUGUACGAUGAUGAGGCAUGGAACAUGCUCGGCCCCUGCUGUACAGGAAGAAUUACAGUACUUCACUACUGCCCGUGAUCUCUACAUCAGAUAUAAUGUUACAGGAAUACUGGCGAUCGGGGAUAUCUUGAUCUCCAACGGUAAAAAAUGUGCACUCAGUGAUGUCAUUCAUACUAUUGAUACUAUCAAACAUUCUUUUGGGGCUCACUGCAGAUCAUCUGCAAGAAGAGCUCAGUUCAAGAACUAAGGCUAUGCUUUGCCAAGGAUUUGAAGGUGAGUUAUCUUUUGUCCUUGGAAAGGUCUCCUUGGUUUUCAUUUUUAUUUGCAUGAACACAACUUUACUGCUUAAGGACUAAUGUUGUCACAACACGGGACAAUGAUCUUACUUGGUAAUUCGCACAACACCAGUGCUAAUCAACUCAUAUGAUUUAGAGCUUUGAAGGAUUUUAAACUUUAGAUCUCAGUACCAACUUUGCCCGAGAAGAAGAAAUCAAAUUGAUCUCAGUAUAAGUACAAAUGCAUUUAUGAGAUCUUUCAACUUAUAUCACCAUUUUGUUUAUUUAUGCUGCUCAUAAAUUUUGUUUCAUUUUUUAAAGUUGUUAUUUCUGGCCAUGCAUUAUCUUUAUGGAUGAAAUCAAUGAAAUUUUUGGGAGAAAAUUUAGUGGGGGAACCAGUGAUGACUUCCCGCGGAUGCGGAUGGAGCUUCUUAAUCAGCUGGAUGGAUUUGAUGAGCUUGGCAAGGUAGACUGACAUCAUCAAGUAUUUUUCUUCUCUAGAUGCCUUUAUGCCAUAUAUGCAAAGGAUUGGAUUCAAUCGAAGUUAUUUGCUUGCCUGAAUGUAUGUGUGAUAUGCACUCUAGCUUUCCUGGCUCCUAGGUGAAGUAUGGCAGUCUCGAGACGAGUUUUAUAGAUUAAGUUUAUUGUUCAUCUUUUACAGAUGGAAUAAAAAUUGAGGACUGUAGGUUUUGUUCUAUCUGAUUGUUGUCAUGCCAACAGAAGUGCCUAAUUCUCUGAUAGGCUUUGAUUCUUAUGUUACUUUCUUACUGGGAUGUUUUAUUUUAUUUUGGGAAAACCCAUGAUUUUAUCCUAACCCGAAAUUGCCGAGGUAGGAUAAGAGUAAUGGGAAUCCAAGCCUAAUUCUCCAUUUCAAUGUACACAAAAUUACUGGUGCAUCUCCAUUUCAAUGUACACAAAAUUCAGUUGGAGUAGACUCCAAAUCUACAAAUCAUUCUUCCUACAAAGAGUAGAAACAGAGCCUAUCGACACAACCAGAACACUAUUUUAACUCUUAAACUUAGCCAGCAGUAACUAUCCAGAGUAGUUCUUCAAAGCUCUAUCGACACAACCAGAGUAGUUCUUCGGAGCUCUAUCCAGCCUGACAUCAAAGGGAGUCAAGUAUCGCUUCAACUUUCUAUCCUGCAACAGAUAAUUAAAGAUUGUCAGAAGGUGACUGGUCGCGCCCGAUCUAGGUAAAAUCUUCGUCUGAUUUUUGGUCCACAUGACGAUGAUCUGUUUUUUCGGGAGUUUCUUCAGGAUCCGCUCGUGUGCCAGAGCCGACUCAGGAUGCCUUCCUCGACGACGACGAAACAAUGAAGCUUGAAGCGAGUGGAGCUCCGAAGGAGGAUCUCAGGGAUGAAGGAGGCGUCGGCGACAACCUCAGAAAAGAGUGGCAGGGGACAGGGGGCGCGCCCGUGCUGGUGCUGUCGCUAACGCUCCACCUGGACGGCAGCGAUUGGGAGCUGCCUUGGGGUACUACGUGUUGGAGGACAACGGCGUGUAGGUCAUGUGCCUGGUGCUAGACAUGAUGGCGGGGACCAAACCGUCAUCCGCAACUACUAGCAGCAGAACACAGAAGUCGUCUAUGACCUCGACAGGACAUGCUGGCCUUUGUGCCGGCGCAGUGCGACAAGCUCGCAGCAUCACUAUAGUGUUUUUGUAGAGAGAUAGAAUUUGUAGUACUGAUCAGGUGAAAUGCGCCAAUCUGGCAAUGGUACUGAACUGAAGCAACAGUCUUUUUUAAUGAAAUGUGCUCUCAAUUGUAAAGCUAGCCAAAAAGGGCUGCUGGAUGAGCGUUGUCC